UGAGGAAUAUUGGUCAAUGGGCGAGAGCCUGAACCAGCCACGUCGCGUGAAGGAUGAAGGUCCUAUGGAUUGUAAACUUCUUUUAUAGUAGAAUAAAGUGAUCCACGUGUGGAUUUUUGUAUGUAUACUAUGAAUAAGGAUCGGCUAACUCCGUGCCAGCAGCCGCGGUAAUACGGAGGAUCCGAGCGUUAUCCGGAUUUAUUGGGUUUAAAGGGUGCGUAGGCGGAAUAAUAAGUCAGUUGUGAAAGCUUGCGGCUCAACCGUAAAAUUGCAGUUGAUACUGGUAUGCUUGAGUGUACAUAAGGUAGGCGGAAUUCGGGGUGUAGCGGUGAAAUGCGUAGAUAUCACGAAGAACUCCAAUUGCGAAGGCAGCUUACCGGGGUAAAACUGACGCUGAGGCACGAAAGUGUGGGUAUCAAACA
rnacentral:rRNA from 1 species